rnacentral:rRNA from 1 species
UAGAGGAAGUAAAAGUCGUAACAAGGUCUCCGUAGGUGAACCUGCGGAGGGAUCAUUACAGAGACUCUGCCCUUUGGGUAGACCUCCCACCCUGUGUCGUUAUACCUUCGUUGCUUUGGCGGGCCGCGGGGCUCCGGCCCUGCCCCUGGCUCCGGCUAGGGCGCGCCCGCCAGAGGACUCUUAAACCUGAAUGUUAGUGUCGUCUGAGUACUAUAUAAUAGUUAAAACUUUCAACAACGGAUCUCUUGGUUCUGGCAUCGAUGAAGAACGCAGCGAAAUGCGAUAAGUAAUGUGAAUUGCAGAAUUCAGUGAAUCAUCGAAUCUUUGAACGCACAUUGCGCCCCUUGGUAUUCCGGGGGGCAUGCCUGUUCGAGCGUCAUUACACCCUCAAGCUCUGCUUGGUCUUGGGCGUCACCGGUCCCGGUGUGCCUUAAAAUCAGUGGCGGCGCCGUCUGGCUCUAAGCGUAGUACAUACUCUCGCUACAGACGCCCGGCGGAUGCUGGCCAGCAACCCCCAAUCUAUCAAGGUUGACCUCGGAUCAGGUAGGGAUACCCGCUGAACUUAAGCAUAUCAAUA